rnacentral:rRNA from 1 species
UACGUAGGUGGCAAGCGUUAUCCGGAAUUAUUGGGCGUAAAGCGCGCGUAGGCGGUUUUUUAAGUCUGAUGUGAAAGCCCACGGCUCAACCGUGGAGGGUCAUUGGAAACUGGAAAACUUGAGUGCAGAAGAGGAAAGUGGAACUCCAUGUGUAGCGGUGAAAUGCGCAGAGAUAUGGAGGAACACCAGUGGCGAAGGCGACUUUCUGGUCUGUAACUGACGCUGAUGUGCGAAAGCGUGGGGAUC